rnacentral:rRNA from 1 species
UACGCUCGGGCUAGCGGUAAAAUGCGUUGAACCUGAGCGGACUACCAGAGGCGAAGGCGUCUGUCCAAAACAUGUCUGACGGUGAGGGGCGAAAGCUGGGGGAGCAAAGGGGAUUAGAUACCCCCGUAGUCCCAGCUGUAAAUGAUGCUCACUAGAAAAUUCUAUACCUUUGUGGUAUAGAGUUUCCCAAGCGAAGGCGUUAAGUGAGCCACCUGGGGAGUACGACCGCAAGGUUGAAACUUAAAGGAAU